GGGAUUGCCUCAGUAACGGCGAGUGAAGCGGCAACAGCUCAAAUUUGAAAUCUGGGGCCUUCGGCUCCCGAGUUGUAAUUUGUAGAGGAUGCCUCGGGGGGUGCUUCGGCCCAAGUUCCUUGGAACAGGAUACCACAGAGGGUGAGAGUCCCGUAUCCGGCCGGCAGUACCCUCCGCGCGAGGCUCCUUCGACGAGUCGAGUUGUUUGGGAAUGCAGCUCUAAGCGGGUGGUAAAUUCCAUCUAAAGCUAAAUACUGGCCAGAGACCGAUAGCGAACAAGUAGAGUGAUCGAAAGAUGAAAAGCACUUUGAAAAGAGAGUCAAACAGUACGUGAAAUUGUUGAAAGGGAAGCGUAUGGGGGCAGACUUGGCCGCGGGGUUCAGGGUGUCUUUUGGCGCCUGUACUUCCCCGUGGGCAGGCCAGCAUCGGUUUUGGGGGUUGGAUAAAGGCGUCGGGAAUGUGGCUCCCCUCGGGGAGUGUUAUAGCCCGUCGCGCAAUGCAGCCACCCGGGAUCGAGGACCGCGCUUCGGCAAGGAUGCUGGCGUAAUGGCCUCAUACGGCCCGUCUUGAAACACGGACCAAGGAGUCUAACAUCUAUGCGAGUGUUUGGGUGUCAAGCCCGAGCGCGCAAUGAAAGUGAACGGAGGUGGGAGCCCGUAAAAAGGCGCACCAUCGACCGAUCCUGACGUCUUCUGAGGGAUUUGAGUAAGAGCAUAGCUGUUGGGACCCGAAAGAUGGUGAACUAUGCGUGAAUAGGGUGAAGCCAGAGGAAACUCUGGUGGAGGCUCGCAGCGG
rnacentral:rRNA from 2 species